rnacentral:rRNA from 1 species
GUCUAUGGACAUAUUAUCCUGAACAAGCCCCAUAUUGUCUGAUUUGGGAAACUAAUCAAAGUUGGGCCUGCUUAGUACUUGAAUAGGAGGCUGCCUGGGAAAACCAGGUGCUAUAGGCU